GCCACAUGAUGCUUUUUAGAUACCAUAGCGUUACUGCAUUGAUGACCUUUUAUCUAUCACCCAUUAACUGAUGGCA
ensembl:snoRNA SNORD83 Small nucleolar RNA SNORD83